UAAAUUUGGUAGAAGAGCUU
rnacentral:miRNA from 1 species